UCCUCUCUUACCCUGUGAUAAAUCUGC
rnacentral:piRNA from 1 species